UGAGGGAUAUUGGGCAAUGGGCGCAAGCCUGACCCAGCGACGCCGCGUGGAGGACGACGGGCUUCGGCUCGUAAACUCCUUUUCCCGGGGACGAGACAAGGACGGUACCCGGGGAAUAAGUCUCGGCUAACUACGUGCCAGCAGCCGCGGUAAUACGUAGGGAGCAAGCGUUGUUCGGAUUUACUGGGCGUAAAGGGCGCGUAGGCGGCGCGGUAAGUCACUUGUGAAAUCUCUGAGCUUAACUCAGAACGGCCAAGUGAUACUGCUGUGCUAGAGUGCGGAAGAGGCAACCGGAAUUCUUGGUGUAGCGGUGAAAUGCGUAGAUAUCAAGAGGAACACCUGAGGCGAAGGCGGGUUGCUGGGCCGACACUGACGCUGAUGCGCGAAAGCCAGGGGAGCAAACG
rnacentral:rRNA from 1 species